rnacentral:rRNA from 1 species
UACAGAGGUCCCGAGCGUUGUUCGGAUUCACUGGGCGUAAAGGGUGCGUAGGUGGUGAGGUAAGUCGGAUGUGAAAGCUCGGAGCUCAACUCCGAAAUGGCAUUGGAAACUACCUUGCUAGAGGAUUGGAAGGGGGACUGGAAUGCUUGGUGUAGCAGUGAAAUGCGUAGAUAUCAAGCGGAACACCAGUGGCGAAGGCGAGUCCCUGGACAACACCUGACACUGAGGCACGAAAGCUAGGGGAGCAAACAGG